GACGAACGCUGGCGGCGUGCUUAACACAUGCAAGUCGAACGGAAAGGCCCUGCUUUUGUGGGGUGCUCGAGUGGCGAACGGGUGAGUAACACGUGAGUAACCUGCCCUUGACUUUGGGAUAACUUCAGGAAACUGGGGCUAAUACCGGAUAGGCGCUCCAGCUGCAUGGUGGGGGUUGGAAAGUUUCGGCGGUUGGGGAUGGACUCGCGGCUUAUCAGCUUGUUGGUGGGGUAGUGGCUUACCAAGGCUUUGACGGGUAGCCGGCCUGAGAGGGUGACCGGCCACAUUGGGACUGAGAUACGGCCCAGACUCCUACGGGAGGCAGCAGUGGGGAAUAUUGCACAAUGGGCGGAAGCCUGAUGCAGCAACGCCGCGUGCGGGAUGACGGCCUUCGGGUUGUAAACCGCUUUCGCCUGUGACGAAGCGUGAGUGACGGUAAUGGGUAAAGAAGCACCGGCUAACUACGUG
rnacentral:rRNA from 1 species